UCUUGCGCAAUGGGCGAAAGCCUGACGCAGCCAUGCCGCGUGAAUGAUGAAGGUCUUAGGACUGUAAAAUUCUUUCACCGGGGACGAUAAUGACGGUACCCGGAGAAGAAGCCCCGGCUAACUUCGUGCCAGCAGCCGCGGUAAUACGAAGGGGGCUAGCGUUGCUCGGAAUUACUGGGCGUAAAGGGCGCGUAGGCGGACAGUUUAGUCAGAGGUGAAAGCCCAGGGCUCAACCUUGGAAUUGCCUUUGAUACUGGCUGUCUUGAGUACGGGAGAGGUGAGUGGAACUCCGAGUGUAGAGGUGAAAUUCGUAGAUAUUCGGAAGAACACCAGUGGCGAAGGCGACUCACGGCCCGUUACUGACGCUGAGGCGCGAAA
rnacentral:rRNA from 1 species